rnacentral:rRNA from 1 species
GACGAACGCUGGCGGCGUGCCUAAUACAUGCAAGUAGAACGCUGAAGUAGGAGCUUGCUUCUCUGGAUGAGUUGCGAACGCGUGAGUAACGCGUAGGUAACCUGCCUGGUAGCGGGGGAUAACUAUUGGAAACGAUAGCUAAUACCGCAUAACAGAAGAUAUACCAUGAUAUUUUCUAGAAAAGUGCAGUUGCAUCAUUACUAAUUGGUCCUGCGUUGUAUUAGUAAGUUGGUGAGGUAAUGGCUCACCACGGCGACGAUACAUAGUCGACCGCGUAGGGGGAUCGGCCACACUGGGACGGAGACACGGCCCAGAAUCCUACGGGAGGCAGCAGUAGGGAAUCUUCGGGAAUGGACGGAAGGCUGAACGGGCAACGCCGGGGGAGGGAAGAAGGGUUUCGGAUCGGAAAGCUCUGUUGAAAGGGAAGGACGAGAGGGGGAGGGGAAAGUGCACGCUGUGACGGUACCUUACCAGAAAGGGACGGCUAACUACGUG